AACGAACGCUGGCGGCAGGCUUAACACAUGCAAGUCGAGCGCCCCGCAAGGGGAGCGGCAGACGGGUGAGUAACGCGUGGGGAUCUACCCAUCUCUACGGAAUAACGCAUGGAAACGUGUGCUAAUACCGUAUACGUCCUUCGGGAGUAAGAUUUAUCGGAGAUGGAUGAGCCCGCGUUGGAUUAGCUAGUUGGUGGGGUAAAGGCCUACCAAGGCGACGAUCCAUAGCUGGUAUGAGAGGAUGAUCAGCCACACUGGGACUGAGACACGGCCAAGACCCCUACGGGAGGCAGCAGUGGAGAAUAUUGAACAAUGGGCGCAAGCCUGAUGCAGCCAUGCCGCGUGAGUGAUGAAGGCCCUAGGGUUGUAAAGCUCUUUCACCGGUGAAGAUAAUGACGGUAACCGGAGAAGAAGCCCCGGCUAACUUCGUGCCAGCCGCCGCAGUAAUAC
rnacentral:rRNA from 1 species